rnacentral:rRNA from 1 species
GGGCGCAAGCCUGAUGCAGCGACGCCGCGUGAGGGAUGACGGCCUUCGGGUUGUAAACCUCUUUCAAUAGGGACGAAGCGCAAGUGACGGUACCUAUAGAAGAAGGACCGGCCAACUACGUGCCAGCAGCCGCGGUAAUACGUAGGGUCCGAGCGUUGUCCGGAAUUACUGGGCGUAAAGAGCUCGUAGGUGGUUUGUCGCGUUGUUCGUGAAAACUCACAGCUUAACUGUGGGCGUGCGGGCGAUACGGGCAGACUAGAGUACUGCAGGGGAGACUGGAAUUCCUGGUGUAGCGGUGGAAUGCGCAGAUAUCAGGAGGAACACCGGUGGCGAAGGCGGGUCUCUGGGCAGUAACUGACGCUGAGGAGCGAAAGCGUGGGGAGCGAACAGGAUUAGAUACCCUGGUAGUCCACGCCGUAAACGGUGGGUACUAGGUGUGGGUUUCCUUCCUUGGGAUCCGUGCCGUAGCUAACGCAUUAAGUACCCCGCCUGG